rnacentral:rRNA from 1 species
GCUCCUACGGGAGGCAGCAGUGAGGAAUAUUGGUCAAUGGCCGCAGGGCUGAACCAGCCAAGUCGCGUGAGGGAAGACGGUCCUAUGGAUUGUAAACCUCUUUUGUCGGGGAGCAAAAGACGCCACGUGUGGCGUUCCGAGAGUACCCGAAGAAAAAGCAUCGGCUAACUCCGUGCCAGCAGCCGCGGUAAUACGGAGGAUGCGAGCGUUAUCCGGAUUUAUUGGGUUUAAAGGGUGCGCAGGCGGACAGUCAAGUCAGCGGUAAAAAUGCGGUGCUCAACGCCGUACAGCCGUUGUAACUGGCG